rnacentral:rRNA from 1 species
CCUACGGGAGGCAGCAGUGGGGAAUUUUGCGCAAUGGGGGCAACCCUGACGCAGCAACGCCGCGUGAGUGAUGAAGGCCUUCGGGUCGUAAAGCUCUGUCAGAGGGGAAGAAAUGCAGGUGGUGAACAACCAUUCUGUUUGACGGUACCCUCAAAGGAAGCACCGGCUAACUCCGUGCCAGCAGCCGCGGUAAUACGGAGGGUGCAAGCGUUGUUCGGAAUUAUUGGGCGUAAAGCGCGUGUAGGCGGUUUGUUAAGUUUGAUGUGAAAGCCCCGGGCUAAACCGGGAAAGUGCAUGGGAUACUGGCAGACUUGAGUACGGGAGAGGAGAGUGGAAUUCCCAGUGUAGGAGUAAAAUCCGUAGAUAUUGGGAGGAACACCGGUUGCGAAGGCGAUCAUCGGGCUCGUUACUGACGCUCAGGGACGAAAGCGUGGGGAGCAAACAGGAUUAGAUCCCCUGGUAGU